CAUUGGUGCCUCUGACUUUUCCUUGGUGUCCAUAAGAAGCAGGCCCCACGCCAGCAGUGAAUCCUUCUCUGUGGAGUGGCACUUGGAGGCCUCAAACCUGCAACAAGCUCCCAUGGGAGUCCUGUGGAAGAGACUGUGUGGUUGCUCACACACGAAAGGUUGUGCAACAGCACCUUGUGGUGAGACAGUGCCUUGUUCUGAGUGUGCACCAUGCCCAGCACACCCAGGUGCUGACACCACACCUUGGCACGGGAGCUGUACAGAGACCAGACUGAACACAACUCCACGAGGUGAGGGUGAAGCGAUGCUGUCGUACGGGCAGUGGCGGCAACCACAGAGGUAACACCAACACCAAGGGGGAGGAGAGAGAACCAUCGGGAUUACCUGCUGGGCCUGCUGCAGCAGCUCCAUCCUCUCGUGCAGGAUCUGGCUGUCAAACUCCCGGCUCUGCCUCAGGAUCUGCCGCCGCACCUUCUCCACCGCCGCGCGCAGAUCCUCCCGCUGCGCCUCCGUCAGCGACUCGCUGGCCCGCCGGCCGGGAUCCUGCUGCAGGGCAUUAUACAGCGUGGCCUCCAGCUCCUGGAUUUUCUAGUGCAACCCAAAGCACACACAGACAGGCUGGCGUUUGAAUCCAGCAGGCAAACGACCCACCAAGAGCUAGAGGAGGAGGCUAGCAAGGCAGGAGGGCAGGAUGGACACAGACAGACAGACAGAAAGCAGCAAGCGUGAGCGGUGAGGAGCAUUCCACACAGAGUGCACGCAGCCUCCUGGCACGGAUGGACACCCGGGAGAUGGGUCCUGCUCUAGCAAAUCAUUGAUUCUUUCUUUUAAGAAAGAUUCAGAAGAUAGGUCUGCAUUCAGUACCUGAUAAAACUCCAAAUCUUGCUGCUCAACAUUACAAAUUUAACUCAAACUAACAGAUUUCCUUCAACUGCAGCUGAAUUGUUAAGCCCUACUAUAAAAUAAAAAGACUCCAGGAAAAACUGUGAACAGAAAUCUCGCUCUCCCUCUCUGUGGCCCUAGUGACCUGAUAGCCACGGAUAUGUCACUGGCUUAGCUCCAAGCUGCCAUAAGCAAUGAAGGAAGGAACACUUGUAUACACUAAUCCCUCAUCCAUCUCUUGCUGUCUGCCAGAUUCCUAACAUGAUUCUCAUGCACUGACCAAAACUGCAGUACUUUGCAAAGCACACAACACAGGAGAACUUCAGAUUCACAUGGAGAAUUGUACUCCCAAGAGGAAAGGAAGCAAUCAUGGCAGUGUUUCCUCGAUUACUGGGGUUAGCAUGAUCCUAUCAAAAACCAGCAUCCAGACUAACAAUAUUUGGAUCAAGAGCAUCUGACCACAUCCCUUUGGCCCUCAGAACACCUUUGUGAGGUCCUGAGCAAUAAUAAAAACAAGGGAGUGUUUGUUCUUUAUCCUAAUUCUUGAAGAAUCAUAAAUGCCAUCAUAUUUAUGCAAGCUUUCCACUUGGAAGCAAAAGAAAACCCAUAGCAAACGUUCAUCCUAAGGAUAUUUGGAAUAUCAAAUUUACGAUAUUAGCACUUCAA